rnacentral:rRNA from 1 species
UUAAGCGACUAAGCGUACACGGUGGAUGCCCUGGCAGUCAGAGGCGAUGAAGGACGUGCUAAUCUGCGAUAAGCGUCGGUAAGGUGAUAUGAACCGUUAUAACCGGCGAUUUCCGAAUGGGGAAACCCAGUGUGUUUCGACACACUAUCAUUAACUGAAUCCAUAGGUUAAUGAGGCGAACCGGGGGAACUGAAACAUCUAAGUACCCCGAGGAAAAGAAAUCAACCGAGAUUCCCCCAGUAGCGGCGAGCGAACGGGGAGCAGCCCAGAGCCUGAAUCAGUGUGUGUGUUAGUGGAAGCGUCUGGAAAGGCGUGCGAUACAGGGUGACAGCCCCGUACACAAAAAUGCACAUGCUGUGAGCUCGAUGAGUAGGGCGGGACACGUGGUAUCCUGUCUGAAUAUGGGGGGACCAUCCUCCAAGGCUAAAUACUCCUGACUGACCGAUAGUGAACCAGUACCGUGAGGGAAAGGCGAAAAGAACCCCGGCGAGGGGAGUGAAAAAGAACCUGAAACCGUGUACGUACAAGCAGUGGGAGCACGCUUAGGCGUGUGACUGCGUACCUUUUGUAUAAUGGGUCAGCGACUUAUAUUCUGUAGCAAGGUUAACCGAAUAGGGGAGCCGAAGGGAAACCGAGUCUUAACUGGGCGUUAAGUUGCAGGGUAUAGACCCGAAACCCGGUGAUCUAGCCAUGGGCAGGUUGAAGGUUGGGUAACACUAACUGGAGGACCGAACCGACUAAUGUUGAAAAAUUAGCGGAUGACUUGUGGCUGGGGGUGAAAGGCCAAUCAAACCGGGAGAUAGCUGGUUCUCCCCGAAAGCUAUUUAGGUAGCGCCUCGUGAAUUCAUCUCCGGGGGUAGAGCACUGUUUCGGCAAGGGGGUCAUCCCGACUUACCAACCCGAUGCAAACUGCGAAUACCGGAGAAUGUUAUCACGGGAGACACACGGCGGGUGCUAACGUCCGUCGUGAAGAGGGAAACAACCCAGACCGCCAGCUAAGGUCCCAAAGUCAUGGUUAAGUGGGAAACGAUGUGGGAAGGCCCAGACAGCCAGGAUGUUGGCUUAGAAGCAGCCAUCAUUUAAAGAAAGCGUAAUAGCUCACUGGUCGAGUCGGCCUGCGCGGAAGAUGUAACGGGGCUAAACCAUGCACCGAAGCUGCGGCAGCGACGCUGAUGCGUUGUUGGGUAGGGGAGCGUUCUGUAAGCCUGCGAAGGUGUGCUGUGAGGCAUGCUGGAGGUAUCAGAAGUGCGAAUGCUGACAUAAGUAACGAUAAAGCGGGUGAAAAGCCCGCUCGCCGGAAGACCAAGGGUUCCUGUCCAACGUUAAUCGGGGCAGGGUGAGUCGACCCCUAAGGCGAGGCCGAAAGGCGUAGUCGAUGGGAAACAGGUUAAUAUUCCUGUACUUGGUGUUACUGCGAAGGGGGGACGGAGAAGGCUAUGUUGGCCGGGCGACGGUUGUCCCGGUUUAAGCGUGUAGGCUGGUUUUCCAGGCAAAUCCGGAAAAUCAAGGCUGAGGCGUGAUGACGAGGCACUACGGUGCUGAAGCAACAAAUGCCCUGCUUCCAGGAAAAGCCUCUAAGCAUCAGGUAACAUCAAAUCGUACCCCAAACCGACACAGGUGGUCAGGUAGAGAAUACCAAGGCGCUUGAGAGAACUCGGGUGAAGGAACUAGGCAAAAUGGUGCCGUAACUUCGGGAGAAGGCACGCUGAUAUGUAGGUGAAGUCCCUCGCGGAUGGAGCUGAAAUCAGUCGAAGAUACCAGCUGGCUGCAACUGUUUAUUAAAAACACAGCACUGUGCAAACACGAAAGUGGACGUAUACGGUGUGACGCCUGCCCGGUGCCGGAAGGUUAAUUGAUGGGGUUAGCCGCAAGGCGAAGCUCUUGAUCGAAGCCCCGGUAAACGGCGGCCGUAACUAUAACGGUCCUAAGGUAGCGAAAUUCCUUGUCGGGUAAGUUCCGACCUGCACGAAUGGCGUAAUGAUGGCCAGGCUGUCUCCACCCGAGACUCAGUGAAAUUGAACUCGCUGUGAAGAUGCAGUGUACCCGCGGCAAGACGGAAAGACCCCGUGAACCUUUACUAUAGCUUGACACUGAACAUUGAGCCUUGAUGUGUAGGAUAGGUGGGAGGCUUUGAAGUGUGGACGCCAGUCUGCAUGGAGCCGACCUUGAAAUACCACCCUUUAAUGUUUGAUGUUCUAACGUUGACCCGUAAUCCGGGUUGCGGACAGUGUCUGGUGGGUAGUUUGACUGGGGCGGUCUCCUCCUAAAGAGUAACGGAGGAGCACGAAGGUUGGCUAAUCCUGGUCGGACAUCAGGAGGUUAGUGCAAUGGCAUAAGCCAGCUUGACUGCGAGCGUGACGGCGCGAGCAGGUGCGAAAGCAGGUCAUAGUGAUCCGGUGGUUCUGAAUGGAAGGGCCAUCGCUCAACGGAUAAAAGGUACUCCGGGGAUAACAGGCUGAUACCGCCCAAGAGUUCAUAUCGACGGCGGUGUUUGGCACCUCGAUGUCGGCUCAUCACAUCCUGGGGCUGAAGUAGGUCCCAAGGGUAUGGCUGUUCGCCAUUUAAAGUGGUACGCGAGCUGGGUUUAGAACGUCGUGAGACAGUUCGGUCCCUAUCUGCCGUGGGCGCUGGAGAACUGAGGGGGGCUGCUCCUAGUACGAGAGGACCGGAGUGGACGCAUCACUGGUGUUCGGGUUGUCAUGCCAAUGGCACUGCCCGGUAGCUAAAUGCGGAAGAGAUAAGUGCUGAAAGCAUCUAAGCACGAAACUUGCCCCGAGAUGAGUUCUCCCUGACUCCUUGAGAGUCCUGAAGGAACGUUGAAGACGACGACGUUGAUAGGCCGGGUGUGUAAGCGCAGCGAUGCGUUGAGCUAACCGGUACUAAUGAACCGUGAGGCUUAACCUU